rnacentral:tRNA from 7 species
ACACAUGUGGUGUAGUGGUAGCUACUUUUGGCAUUUGCCUGAGAGGUCGCGGGUUCAAAUCCCCUUGGGGUUA